UAAUACGGAGGGUGCAAGCGUUGUUCGGAAUUACUGGGCGUAAAGAGCGUGUAGGCGGCUUGGUAAGUCGGGUGUGAAAGCCCGGAGCUCAACUCCGGAACUGCAUCCGAAACUGCUUGGCUAGAGUCCCGGAGAGGAAGGCAGAAUUCCCAGUGUAGGGGUGAAAUCCGUAGAUAUUGGGAGGAAUACCAGUGGCGAAGGCGGCCUUCUGGACGGUGACUGACGCUGAGACGCGAAAGCGUGGGGAGCAAACAGGAUUAGAUACCCUGGUAGUCCACGCCGUAAACGUUGUGCACUAGGUGUCGGGGGUAUUCACCCCUCCGGUGCCGCCGCUAACGCAUUAAGUGCACCGCCUGGGGAGUACGGCCGCAAGGCUA
rnacentral:rRNA from 1 species